rnacentral:tRNA from 1 species
GCCUCCGUAGCUCAGCAGGAUAGAGCGUCCGCCUCCUAAGCGGAAGGUCACGCGUUCGAAUCGCGUCGGGGGUGCCA